rnacentral:rRNA from 1 species
AACGCGAAGAACCUUACCUACCCUUGACAUCCAACGAAUUUUGCAGAGAUGUAGAAGUGCCGAAAGGAACGUUGAGACAGGUGCUGCAUGGCUGUCGUCAGCUCGUGUUGUGAGAUGUUGGGUUAAGUCCCGUAACGAGCGCAACCCUUAUCCUUAGUUGCCAACAUGUAAUGGUGGGGACUCUAAGGAGACUGCUGGUGAUGAACCGGAGGAAGGCGGGGACGACGUCAAGUCAUCAUGGCCUUUAUGGGUAGGGCUACACACGUGCUACAAUGGGCAGUACAGAGGGCGGCCAACCCGCGAGGGGGAGCUAAUCCCGAAAAGCUGUUCGUAGUCCGGAUCGGAGUCUGCAACUCGACUCCGUGAAGUCGGAAUCGCUAGUAAUCGCGAAUCAGAAUGUCGCGGUGAAUACGUUCCCGGGCCUUGUACACACCGGAGUA